rnacentral:lncRNA from 1 species
AUUCAGGAUUGACUUCUAAAGACUCUUGGUACGUGAGGAAGAAACCCGGAAGAGGAAGAGGAGAGCAAAGGAGUCAGGGAUGGCUUUUUCUCAGGGUCUAUUGACAUUCAGGGAUGUGGCCAUAGAAUUCUCUCAGGAGGAGUGGAAGUGCCUGGACCCUGCUCAGAGGACUCUAUACAGGGACGUGAUGCUGGAGAAUUAUAGGAACCUGGUCUCCCUGGACAGGGUCUUGCUGUGUUGUUGAAAUUCAUCUUGAUCUCCUGAGCUCAAGAGAUCCUCCUCAGUCUCCCGAGUAGCUGAGAUUACAGGCGCCAACCACCAUACCUAAUUAUUGGUUUUUAUUUUUAAGAUUUUUGCAUAUGUGCG